GUGGGGAAUAUUGCACAAUGGGCGAAAGCCUGAUGCAGCAACGCCGCGUGAGCGAUGAAGGCCUUUGGGUCGUAAAGCUCUGUCCUUGGGGAAGAAACAAAUGACGGUACCCUUGGAGGAAGCCCCGGCUAACUACGUGCCAGCAGCCGCGGUAAUACGUAGGGGGCAAGCGUUAUCCGGAAUUAUUGGGCGUAAAGAGUGCGUAGGUGGUCUUGUAAGCGCGGGGUGAAAGGCAAUAGCUCAACUAUUGUAAGCCCUGCGAACUGUGAGACUUGAGUGCAGGAGAGGAAAGCGGAAUUCCUAGUGUAGCGGUGAAAUGCGUAGAUAUUAGGAGGAACACCAGUGGCGAAGGCGGCUUUCUGGACUGUAACUGACACUGAGGCACGAAAGCGUGGGUAGCAAACAGGAUUAGAAACCCUUGUAGUCC
rnacentral:rRNA from 1 species